rnacentral:rRNA from 1 species
UGGGGGGACCAUCCUCCAAGGCUAAAUACUCCUGACUGACCGAUAGUGAACCAGUACCGUGAGGGAAAGGCGAAAAGAACCCCGGCGAGGGGAGUGAAAAAGAACCUGAAACCGUGUACGUACAAGCAGUGGGAGCCUCUUAAUGGGGUGACUGCGUACCUUUUGUAUAAUGGGUCAGCGACUUAUAUUCUGUAGCAAGGUUAACCGAAUAGGGGAGCCGAAGGGAAACCGAGUCUUAACUGGGCGUUAAGUUGCAGGGUAUAGACCCGAAACCCGGUGAUCUAGCCAUGGGCAGGUUGAAGGUUGGGUAACACUAACUGGAGGACCGAACCGACUAAUGUUGAAAAAUUAGCGGAUGACUUGUGGCUGGGGGUGAAAGGCCAAUCAAACCGGGAGAUAGCUGGUUCUCCCCGAAAGCUAUUUAGGUAGCGCCUCGUGAAUUCAUCUCCGGGGGUAGAGCACUGUUUCGGCAAGGGGGUCAUCCCGACUUACCAACCCGAUGCAAACUGCGAAUACCGGAGAAUGUUAUCACGGGAGACACACGGCGGGUGCUAACGUCCGUCGUGAAGAGGGAAACAACCCAGACCGCCAGCUAAGGUCCCAAAGUCAUGGUUAAGUGGGAAACGAUGUGGGAAGGCCCAGACAGCCAGGAUGUUGGCUUAGAAGCAGCCAUCAUUUAAAGAAAGCGUAAUAGCUCACUGGUCGAGUCGGCCUGCGCGGAAGAUGUAACGGGGCUAAACCAUGCACCGAAGCUGCGGCAGCGACGCUUAUGCGUUGUUGGGUAGGGGAGCGUUCUGUAAGCCUGUGAAGGUGUGCUGUGAGGCAUGCUGGAGGUAUCAGAAGUGCGAAUGCUGACAUAAGUAACGAUAAAGCGGGUGAAAAGCCCGCUCGCCGGAAGACCAAGGGUUCCUGUCCAACGUUAAUCGGGGCAGGGUGAGUCGAC